rnacentral:rRNA from 1 species
AUUGAACGCUGGCGGCAGGCCUAACACAUGCAAGUCGAGCGGCAGCGGGAAAGUAGCUUGCUACUUUUGCCGGCGAGCGGCGGACGGGUGAGUAAUGCCUGGGAAAUUGCCCAGUCGAGGGGGAUAACAGUAGGAAACGACUGCUAAUACCGCAUACGCACUACGGGGGAAAGCAGGGGACCUUCGGGCCUUGCACGAUUGGAUAUGCCCAGGUGGGAUUAGCAAGUUGGUGAGGUAAUGGCUCACCAAGGCGACGAUCCCUAGCUGGUCUGGGGGGAUGAACAGCCACACUGGAACUGAGACACGGUCCAGACUCCGACGGGAGGCAGCAGUGGGGAAUAUUGCACAAUGGGGGAAACCCUGAUGCAGCCAUGCCGCGUGUGUGAAGAAGGCCUUCGGGUUGUAAAGCACUUUCAGCGAGGAGGAAAGGUUGAUGCCUAAUACGUAUCAACUGUGACGUUACUCGCAGAAGAAGCACCGGCUAACUCCGUGCCAGCCGCCGCGGUAA